CAGGGGCUCACUAGCCAAGGCUGUCUCACAGCCCCAGCCAGGAGCAGGGCAUCUGGGGUGCACCAGGGAAGCCCCAGCCCCAAGCUUUGGUCACCUCUCUGGGGAUGGGCCAAGGCUGGGACAGGACCUCAGCCUUGGCUCAGUGUGGCUCAAGCAACAGCUGGCUGGAUAAAAAUCCUGGCAGCAGGGUGUUCAGCCAAAGCUAGAGUACAGAGGCAGCACCAGGUUUUCCAGACUUCGCUACUAGGAAUUUUCAGGAUUUCAGAAACAUCCGAUCCUCAAAGGCUCCCAGCUGAUACUGAAGUAGCUGAACUUCUGCCAAAACCUAACUUAGAGUUAGCUGGAUUACCUCUGUAUGUCAUGGCCUAUGGACACUACACUCAGGGAUGUGAAAAGCUGAUGAUCUGUUUAUGAAAGGCUUUGUUUACAGGCAUGUAAAUAAUGCUGAUGCCCUUGCAGGCUUUUAUCUAUUCUAGGAGUCCCAUGAGACAAAAACAUUCACGCUGAUUUCAUGGAAUGGACUGAGAAGUUUCAAGAGGCUCUCUGAGAAGCACUUUAUGCCGCUGGCUAAAAUCUGAAAUACAAAUCUACAAGAGAAUAGGGAAUUAAGCUAAGGAAGGAGAAAAAAACCAAAACCAAACAAGGAUGAUACAAGAGACCAAAACAUGGCAACAGCAACAAAAACACAUUUAUCUCUGAAGCCAUGGGCUAUUACAUUUUAUUCUCUGUAGAGGGAAGAAAGAAUUAGAAUUCUACUUAGGUAUCUUCAAUUGAAAGGCAUGGAAGUAGGGGAUUGGAAAGAGAUAUUGAUGGCUUUAAAUAAUCACUUUCCCAGAAAAGGAACAGAAAGUUUAUCCUGUAAUGCACUCAGAAAACUGCUUGCCUAAAGUCACCGUUAUUUUAAGAGGAGCCACGUUACAUGUUGGUUGCUUGAGAAGUAAAUCACAUACAUACAAAGCUUCAACAACAACGACAAAAAAGGACGAGAUAGGUGCUGGUUUUUAUCUGUCUACUCAUUUCUGAAAGUCUUCAUCACAGCAACAUCUGAGCAUCCAUGGAUGCCAGCCAGACCUUCAAAACAUCCACAGAACAUGCUAGAGUUUCUCUCACUUUCUCUUAAUGGAUAUUAUUAUUUCCUAUCACAAGUUGUUUCAGACUGGAAUUUAACUUCUUCUGCGUGUGGGUAUUUUCAUUUUCCACUGGUAUGUAUGGACUCUUAGUAUUUAGAGAGCACAGCGGAAGGAAAAGUAGUAGGAUAAAAAUGAAUGGUGUUUAUUUUUCUUUGAUUGGAUUGAACAGCAAAUAGUGUGAAUUUGAGUAGACAAAGAAGCCUGUUAUUCCAUUUUUGGGUGAGAUUAACUGCUAAGUAACACUAAAGCUUGCACAAUGGUCUAGAAAACUGCUAUCAGACUAAAAGGAUAAUAAAAUGUUUUGGACAGAAAUCCAAACAAUGGUGAGUAAUGAAUAUCUAGCGAUCUAUAAUUCUGACAAAGGUUUUUCUUUGAGGCUAUGUGUUAGAAUUACAUGCACAUACACAUGCUCAAAAUACUGCAGUACUCAGCAUGAUUUAUGUACUUGAUAAAAUGCCUCAUAGUAGCGCAAAAAUAGAAUUACACCAGGUGCGUAACAAACAGACAUGCUACUUUUAAAAAACUCAAGUCAGCCAACUGGAGUGGGAGCCAAUGAGAGCAGAUGAUCAACAUAUUUAUUUUGAAAGCAGCCAGAAUGCCUCAACCUUCUUCAGUCACAACUAUCUACACUAAAUCAUGGUAAUCCCAGAUUCAGCUAAUCCCAGUUAUGGCUCUGUUAUCAGGUGAGAGUAAAAGUAAUUCUUUUACCUGGGCCAACGUUCUCAUUUCUCACUGUCAUCAUUGUUUGCUUUUACUGUCCAUGCCAGAUAAACCUGGCACUUCCUAAAGCCAUGGCCAAAGUUCGUGUAACUCAAUGUUCAAAUUAAACCACAGAGAAGUCCACAGAUCCUGCCGCAGUAGCUCCAGGCUCCAGGGACACAAAAAAUUAAGGCAGUGACACAAAGAAGAAAGUUGAUACAAAGUCCAAGAGAAGGGGAAAUAAUUGCUUUGAUGGAGCUGAAAGACAAGAAUGACUCCUCCUGCCAGUAUAGUGGCAUCUUUGAAAGAGGGAGACUACAACUCUGAAUGAAAACUGGGCAUUCCUUCUCAAAAAUUUCUGCUAAGCAAAAGGAAAUAUCUUUGAAUAUCUGGAUUCAUAUUCUAGAUCUUUGCAUAUUUGGAUUCAAAUUCUAGAUUUUAAUAUAAAUGUUUGAGAAAUAG